CAAAAAGUAGUAUAUAAAUUACAACUUGCUUACACCAAGUAAAAGGUCUCAAGCCCUUUUUGA
rnacentral:tRNA from 1 species